rnacentral:lncRNA from 1 species
GUAAAAAUGUAUUUAAAAGAAAAUAGAGGUACAUUUGCUUUGGUUUGGGUCUGGGGUAAUCAGUUCUUUUUCAAAUGUCAGCUGAGUGAAAAUUCAACAAUUGUUCAACUGCCACCAACUCUAAGACAGAAUAAUAAGCUCUCCGAAAUUUUCAGGUAUAUUCCUUGAAAGAAAUAUCUUAUUCAGGAAUUGCCUUCAAGAUACAAUGCAGUGUUCUUCUGUGCUUCUUCCUGUUCUGUGAUCUUAGUUAUAAAGUUAGAAGCAGAACACAGUGUGUGUGUGUAGUCAGCCUGCAGGUUAGUAUGAAUUUGAAUCCUGGCAGAAAAGUUGCAGAAGACAUUUUGUUCUAAUUUUAUCCUCCUUCAGAAUGUACCCACAGUCCUGUCCCUCGGCAUUCCUGGUGCCAAAUGUGAGAGGCUGAUAAAUUACAUCAGAAAAGAGAACACCUUCAUGUUGCGGCUGAGAGAUGGGGCAGAGUAUUUCUUCGCAGCACCUUCUCGGACACUGAUGGAGGACUGGCUGCAAUCACUACAGAAUAAUAUAGGACACAGUAACAAGUCACAUCCCACAGCAACGGUGCAGCGUUUUGCUCCAAACACAGAGACCUCUCAGACAAGGCUGUGGGACUUUCCAGACAGAGACUCUGCUGAAAGAGUAAACAGCAAAAGCUCACUCAUAAGUGUCACAGAAAUAGUGUGAAAAGAAAGACAGUGAAGUGCUGGAGUGAGUUCAAAGAAAGCAUCUGCUCUGAAGACUGGGUUACCUCAAUGCUCAACAGAGAGAGACAUUCCAACAGAUGAUGGAAUCUGAGCAGAGUCUACAAUAGGCACUUUGGAUAUUACUUUGAUCAGUCCCUCC